UUUUAAUUUUGGCAGAAAUAUAUGCGUUUAACUUAGAAUUAAAUAAUACUCUUUAGUAAUUAAAAU
rnacentral:tRNA from 1 species